GAAAGCCCCGUUUCUUGGGAUAGCAUCAUGCAGUGACACAGUGAUGUGUAAGACAGGUAGCCGAAAAUUCUCUUCAAUCCUAAGCCAUGUACCUAGAAAGUAAACAGACCUUUAAAAAGAGGACAUAUGAGAGCAACAUCACAAGAGAGAUGGGAGGAAGCUGAACGUCUCUAAGAAGCUACAAACAACACAAGCAAGACAUGCUGGAGGAAAGCUGCUGAAGAGCCACGUUGCCUUGAGGAAAAAGGCAUACCUAUUCUACAUUAGUGAAAGGAAAGAGAUUGUAUUCAGUUAAGCUCUCUCCACAUUAAAAAAAAGUAAGUUUAAUUUGUGAAAAAGAACAGUGUCAGUAAACAGGAUUAAUUUUCAAGAAACUUAUGGGUUUUGUGUCAGCAGUCCUGCUUUUCAAAUUAUUUCUAAAUACAUUAUUCCAUACUUGAAAUAAAAUUCUGUCAAGUUCUUGGGUCUUUUGGGUUUGGUUGUUGUGUUGGGUUUUUUGUGCGAUUGCUGGCCUUAUCAGGUAUAUCUUGAUCUGGAAAUAAGCAUUUGGUAAUUUAAAAGUGAAUGCAAAUGUUUGUCUUUCAAACAGGCAAUAUGUGAAAAAGGAAGUGAUUUUUCAUACUUACUUAGAAACACUUCUAGGUCAUUUUUACUUGGCUUUUUUCUUAUUUGUAGUGGUGUUUACUCAUUAAAUGUGCCAAUCAUUACAGAGAUAAUACAAAAAUACUUGAAAAUAUGUAUGAGAAAGUACAUUAUGUAGGCUUGGAAAUUUUGCAUACAAAAAGACUGGCUAAGGAACAUUUAUAUCUACUCUUGAAAAAAUAAAUACAUGACCAUUGCCUAUUUUAGAGGUUUUUUGGAAGAUACCAGCAAAGGUCAUUGGCUUUCCUUUUAUAUGAUAUUAAGAAUAUAUACUUCUCCUAUAUUUAGUAACACUAAUCCGAUUAAUAGGGAUGUUUUUGAGGGUCAUUGGCAUUAGUCAUUCCAUGGAUAUUUGCUCAGUGAAGUACAAUUGCUAGUUUCUAGUCAAGGCAGGCAGACUGGAGAUGCACUACAGGGACCCAAGAUUCCUGUUUGAGCAGCUGCAAAGGAGAUUUAUAGUGCAAAGGCUAGCAUUCAUUUUGUCAUUGCUAUAACAAUUGCCAGUCAUUCCCACCCUCAUUGCCAACAAAGUCUUGUCUGCCAAGCAUCGCAGCCAGCCUGAAAGAAGCUUCACCAAACGUUGCACUGGCUCAGAGUCCCACUCAUGUUAAUGCAGCUGAGGCUCGAAAGGAACCCUUAGGGACAGUCAGCAAAUAUUUUAAAACCAGAUGGACAAAUGGAAUCCUUUGCCUCUUAUCAAGGCAGUAGAAACUCUGUCAAACUUUCUGCCACUAGAAAUCACUUCCAGCAUACCUCGGCUUCUAGCUGCUAUCAUUCAUCUUCUCUAGGAACCCCCUGAAAUGGCACAGGCACUCUGGAGCAGAAGGGGAGAAGACAGAUGGCUAAAAUGCCUUCUCAUAUCCUGUCAAAUCCCAGCCUUACAGUGGCACAAAAACACAUGGGACCUAACCAGCUCCCUCCUCUUUUGUUCCAGUCUGUUUGUCUCUGAUGAAGACACUGUACUAUAAACUGAUUCCCAGAGCAAUGAAAAAAAAUUAAGCAAUUAGGCAACCUACUUCACUUAAUUGUAUUCCCACAGUUGUCCAUCUGGUCUCAUAUUAAAAAAUUCAUUUAAGAGAGACUAUUACACAGAGUCACUCCAGUAACUUUCCUUUUUUUUAAUGUUAAAAAAAAGCCCCAAACCUCUCAGAGUCAGACUCUAUUCUAUAUAGAUGCUAAUGCUAAAUAAUUAUAUAUUCUGUAUAUUCCAUAUUCUAUAUAGCAACCCUAUUUCUAGUCCCAGCCAUUGGCACUUCUGUACAUGUUCCUCUAGAUCUUUUGAUGAGUUAAGGUGAAGAAAUGAAGACAAAAACAUUUGCAACGAGUACUUGCACUCCUAGUUCAUUUUGGAACAUCCAUAACACAGAGAUGGCUUUGAAAUGCUCAUACCUAAUCUGCUUAUUUCCAUUAAAAAACAAAACAACAAGAAAAGUCUUUUUCUUUCCAGUAACUGGCUAAAAAACCCCAAACCCAAAACAUAUAUUAUGCAACCUCAAGAGGGCAGCACGGUAUUUCAAGAAUCACCUUACAAAAAGGUAAAAAUGCCUUAGCAUAACAACAGGCUCUAAUGACAGCAUAGAAUUAAGGUUGUUGUAAACAUGAAUUAUUAAAAAAAGGCAAAAAAUAAGUUAAGUCCAUGGCAGAAUCAUUAGCUUACCUGUUUUGCUGCUGUCCAUGUAGUGCCACAUGACUCACAGUAGCAGAUGAUGCAGGAUUGCAGUUUCCAGAUAUAUGUCCCAUAUGCUGUAGCAGCUACAUCAGCAUAGACCUCAGUGCUAGUUCUUCCUUAACCAAUACCUAUUAUGAGCAAUAUGUUCAAAAUUGUGAUAGCACUGUGUCUAGGGCAAGGAACAGCCAAGUUCUGUGAUAAUGAAAUUCUUGCCUGCAAGCGGUAAUAAUUCUCUUCAUGCUUUUAAAUGAUACACACAAAUUUAGGAUUAUAGGAACACUGACUGCAAGGUGAUCUCAUGAGUAACUGAGUACAGUUGCCUUCUAUGGCACCGUGUCAUUUUGUCCUUUCAUAAAAGUAUUAUGUUCUGUCUUAAAAUUAGAUUUUUUCCUUCUCACUAUGUCUCUUGGAAAACUGUUUCAGAAUUUCUUUGUUCUAACGGACCUUAUAUAAGAAUUCUACUCCAGAGUUACUCUUAGACAACUUGUAUCUUUUGGUUCUUGUGUCAACAUUAUCUUUUAGCCCCUACACUGCCUCCGUUUUGCUGAAUUAAACAUUUUUCUGUCUUUUAUGCUAUGACAAAACCCUCCAAUUCCUUGAUCAUUUUAGUAAUAAUUCUUUCUGCCUGUUCCCAUUUUAAUCUCCUUCCUUGAGCGUAUAUGCUAGAUAAUAGCUAUAUUCCAGAUGAAUAAUCCCCAAAUCGCAGGCCUUAAUACUUCUUCAAGUCUAUUGGAAAUUCAUCAUGUCACCACAUGUGCCUUUUAUAGCACUGAUGAGUUAGGGAUGGCAAUGUUAGCAUGCAUGCUGAAGACCUGGAGGAGGAAUAGACUUGAGAGUUAGCUGCAGGUACAACCUCCAAUUCUGCCAUUACUGUGCAACAGUUCAAGCCAAACAAGACUGCAUCUCGGGUACCUCAUUUUAGAAUGGUGAUAAUACCCACCCAUGCUACUAUAUAACUCAUAGCACAACUACAAAAUUACAUAGAAAUCUAAUACAUCCUAUAUGUCUUAAUAGCAUACUUUUCAGCUCACUAAAGUAGUAGAUCUGCUGUAAUUCUCACAGUGAUCUGUCCAAGGUCAGCUAACAGCAUUGAUACUAGUAUAGCACUGCAUAACUCAUGGUAGUUCACGUAUUAUGAUAAUUUCUUUUUUCAAGUGAGUUUUAUAAAACAAAACCUCUCUCAUUCCAGCACAAUGCCUUCUGGAAUUAUUCUUAAAUUGGAGUGAUUAGUUUCAUCAUAAAUCCUGUGUACUAAGAAGAAAAUUUCUAACAGCACUUUUAUGACCACUGUUUCUCAACAUUUCUCUCUCCCAAUUGUA